CCUAACACAUGCAAGUCGAACGGUAACAGGAAGAAGCUUGCUUCUUUGCUGACGAGUGGCGGACGGGUGAGUAAUGUCUGGGAAACUGCCUGAUGGAGGGGGAUAACUACUGGAAACGGUAGCUAAUACCGCAUAACGUCGCAAAACCAAAGAGGGGGACCUUCGGGCCUCUUGCCAUCGGAUGUGCCCAGAUGGGAUUAGCUAGUAGGUGGGGUAACGGCUCACCUAGGCGACGAUCCCUAGCUGGUCUGAGAGGAUGACCAGCCACACUGGAACUGAGACACGGUCCAGACUCCUACGGGAGGCAGCAGCGGGGAAUAUUGCACAAUGGGCGCAAGCCUGAUGCAGCCAUGCCGCGUGUAUGAAGAAGGCCUUCGGGUUG
rnacentral:rRNA from 1 species